rnacentral:rRNA from 1 species
CAUAUCAAUAGCGGAGSAAAGAAACCAACAGGGAUUGCCUCAGUAACGGNGAGUGAAGCGGCAACAGCUCAAANUUGAAAUCUGACCCCGUCGCCGGGGCCCCAGUUGUAAUUUGGAGAGGGUGCCUUCGGGCGCGGCGCCGGCCUAAGUCCCUUGGAACAGGGCGUCCUAGAGGGUGAGAAUCCCGUCUGCGGCCGGCCGCCUACCCCGUGUGAAGCCCCUUCGACGAGUCGAGUUGUUUGGGAAUGCAGCUCAAAAUGGGUGGUAAAUUUCAUCUAAAGCUAAAUACCGGCCAGAGACCGAUAGCGCACAAGUAGAGUGAUCGAAAGAUGAAAAGCACUUUGGAAAGAGAGUUAAACAGUACGUGAAAUUGUUGAAAGGGAAGCGCUUGCGACCAGACUUGCCCGCGGGGGAUCCGCCUCCCCUCGGGGGGGUGCACUCCCCCGCGGUCAGGCCAGCAUCGGUUCGGGCGGCCGGACAAAGGUCCCGGGAACGUGGCUCCCUCCGGGGAGUGUUAUAGCCCGGGGCGCCAUGCGGCCAGCCCGGACCGAGGACCGCGCUUCGGCUAGGAUGCUGGCGUAAUGGUCGUCAGCGACCCGUCUUGAAACACGGACCAAGGAGUCUAACAUCUGUGCGAGUGUUUGGGUGUCAAGCCCAGGCGCGGAAUGAAAGUGAACGGAGGUGGGAGCCCCCUCCCGGGGGGGGCGCACCAUCGACCGAUCCUGAUGUCUUCGGAUGGAUUUGAGUAGGAGCACAGCUGUUGGGACCCGAAAGAUGGUGAACUAUGCCUGAAUAGGGUGAAGCCAGAGGAAACUCUGGUGGAGGCUCGCAGCGGUUCUGACGUGCAAAUCGAUCGUCAAAUUUGGGUAUAGGGGCGAAAGAC